GAGGGAAAGUUGCAAAGAACUUUGAAGAGAGAGUUCAAGAGGGCGUGAAACCGCUUAGAAGUAAACGGAUGGAGCUGACAUUAGCUCUGCUGUAUUCAUCUUUCUGUCAGGUGAACGGCUGCCACUGGAUUGCAAGACCGGUAGUGGUUUCGUUUGCUGUUGGUUGGUGCACUUGCAGUAGAGUUGCGUCACGACCGGUUACUUCGCUGGCAAACCCUGAGGACUGCCGACUGCUUCUGCAGAGCCCCGUCUUCAGAUUUAGCCGAGAUGGAGUGACCGGGUACUCACCGCGUCGGCUUCGCUCGAUCAUUGCUGUUUACGGAUUAAUCGAAAUGCUGUUUUGUGCUUGCACGACUUGGCAACCCUUAGUCUGUACUUCGGUAGUGGCUCGACUCGAUGCAAAUGGUCAGUGGCGUCCGCGUCAGCGUCCCAUCCGACCCGUCUUGAAACACGGACCAAGGAGUCUAACAUGUACGCAAGUCAUGGGGUUGCAAAACCCACAGGCGUAAUGAAAGUGAAGGUCAAUUCUGUUGGCCGAGGUAGGAUCCUUGGUUUUACCGAGGCGCACUACCGUCCCAUCGCAUCUGCUCGUCAGAGCGGUGGAGAAAGAGCGUACACGUUGGGACCCGAAAGAUGGUGAACUAUGCCUGAGCAGGAUGAAGCCAGAGGAAACUCUGGUGGAGGUCCGUAGCGGUUCUGACGUGCAAAUCGAUCGUCAGACUUGGGUAUAGGGGCGAAAGACUAAUCGAACCAUCUAGUAGCUG
rnacentral:rRNA from 1 species